GCAAGUCGAAGGACCUUUUCGGAGGGACUGGCGCACGGGUGAGUAACGCGUACACAACCUACCUUAUACAGGGGGACAGCCUUUGGAAACGAAGAUUAAUACCCCAUAGUAUGCUUCGGCAUUAAAGCUUCGGCGGUAUAAGAUGGGUGUGCGUGUCAUUAGAUAGUUGGUGAGGUAACGGCUCACCAAGUCGACGAUGACUAGGGGGCGUGAGAGCGUGAUC
rnacentral:rRNA from 1 species